UACGGAGGAUGCAAGCGUUAUCCGGAUUUAUUGGGUUUAAAGGGUGCGUAGGCGGAUAUGUAAGUCAGCGGUGAAACUCACAGGCUCAACCUGUGCCGUGCCGUUGAAACUGUGUAUCUGGAAUGCGGAUGCUGUGGGAGGAAUGUGUAGUGUAGCGGUGAAAUGCAUAGAUAUUACACAGAACACCGAUUGCGAAGGCAUCUCACAAAGCCGUUAUUGACGCUGAGGCACGAAAGUGUGGGGAU
rnacentral:rRNA from 1 species